rnacentral:rRNA from 1 species
GACGGGGGCCCGCACAAGCGGAGGAACAUGUGGUUUAAUUCGAUGAUACGCGAGGAACCUUACCCGGGCUUGAACUGCAGCCGAACGAUAGAGAGAUCUUGAGGCCCUUCGGGGCGGCUGUGGAGGUGCUGCAUGGUUGUCGUCAGCUCGUGCCGUGAGGUGUCGGCUUAAGUGCCAUAACGAGCGCAACCCUUUUCAUUAGUUGCCAUCAGGUCAUGCUGGGCACUCUGAUGAUACUGCCACCGUAAGGUGUGAGGAAGGUGGGGAUGACGUCAAAUCAGCACGGCCCUUACGUCCGGGGCUACACACGUGUUACAAUGGGUGGUACAGAGAGUCGGUCGUCUGCAAAUGCGAUCCAAUCCUUAAAGCCAUCCUCAGUUCGGAUUGGGGUCUGCAACCCGACCCCAUGAAGCUGGAUUCGCUAGUAAUCGCGCAUCAGCCAUGGCGCGGUGAAUACGUUCCCGGGCCUUGUACACACCGCCCGUCAAGCCAUGAAAGCCGGGGGCGCUUGAAGUCCGUGACCGCAAGGAUCGGCCUAGAGCGAAACUGGUAAUUGGGGCUAAGUCGUAACAAGGUAGGCGUACCGAAG